rnacentral:rRNA from 1 species
GACGAACGCUGGCGGCGUGCUUAACACAUGCAAGUCGAGCGGGAUCCAACCGGUGGCAACACCGGGGAAGAUCUAGCGGCGAACGGGUGAGUAACACGUGAGCAACCUGCCCCGAAGACUGGGAUAACACCGGGAAACCGGUGCUAGUACCGGAUGUCGUCAUUAGGCCGCAUGACCUGAUGAUGAAAGGAUUCAUCGCUUCGGGAGGGGCUCGCGGGCUAUCAGCUUGNGGUGGGGUAACGGCCUACCAAGGCGACGACGGCUAGCUGGUCUGAGAGGACGACCAGCCACACUGGGACUGAGACACGGCCCAGACUCCUACGGGAGGCAGCAGUGGGGAAUCUUGCGCAAUGGGCGAAAGCCUGACGCAGCAACGCCGCGUGGGGGA